rnacentral:precursor_RNA from 15 species
UCAAUUGAAGUUUGUAAUAGUCUUAUGGGUUUCGCGGCGCGGCCCUUUUGCGCGUGUCUUUUAAUACUUAUCGUCAAAUGCGCCGAACUGCGAAAUUCAUGGGAUUAAGUAAGCAACGUGAAUUAU